GAACGGGUGAGUAACACGUGGGCAACCUGCCCAAAAGAGGGGGAGUAACAACUUGGAAACAGGUGCUAAUACCGCAUAACCAUAGUUACCGCAUGGUAACUAUGUAAAAGGUGGCUAUGCUACCGCUUUUGGAUGGGCCCGCGGCGCAUUAGCUAGUUGGUGGGGUAAAGGCUUACCAAGGCAAUGAUGCGUAGCCGAACUGAGAGGUUGAUCGGCCACAUUGGGACUGAGACACGGCCCAAACUCCUACGGGAGGCAGCAG
rnacentral:rRNA from 1 species